CUUACACACAAACUAACUGCAUUACCUACACAAACUGGUAUCCCUAUACACUACAUUCCAUAAGGACACACAUUAGAUCCUCUACAGUAACACAUAACACAUCCCCUACACACUCUACUCCCUGUGAGCGGACUCAUGUAGGUGGACUUAUGGGUGGGCUUUAUGGGCAUACUCACAGUCAGGCCCUGGGGCCCAGACCUUGAGCUAUGUAAGAGGCCCCACAAAAUUGAGCUGCUUCCCGUUCUCCCAGAACAUUGAAUUUUGUGACCACAGUUACAAACAGCCUCCAGAGACCCUGUUCUACACCAGACCAGUGGAGCCAGACUGCAGCCACAGCCCAUCAUCAUCCUCAUCUGAUUGUAAGUAGGCAAUCUAGUAUAUU